AUAAACUGUCGACCUCGGAUCGGGCGAGAAUACCCGCCCAACUUAAGCAUAUCACUAAGCGGAGGAAAAGAAACUAACGAGGAUUCCCCUAGUAGCGGCGAGCGAAGCGGGAAGAGCCCACGUCCGAACCGGCGCGGGGUCCCCCUCGCGGGGGCCUCGACACAAAAGCGCCGGAGUGUGGAGUGAGGGGACCUGGGGGUUUCGGCCCCCUUCCCGAUCGGACGCGUCGCUUGCCCAGAGACCGCGCGCAAGUCCCCUCGAACGGGGCCACGGCCCAGAGAGGGUGCCAGGCCCGUAGGCGCGGCGGCGGCGUGUCCCGGGGGUCCCGGAGAGUCGGGUUGCUUGGGAGUGCAGCCCUAAGCGGGUGGUAAACUCCACCCAAGGCUAAAUACGACCGCGAGACCGAUAGCGAACAAGUACCGCGAGGGAAAGUUGAAAAGAACUUUGGAGAGAGAGUUCAAGAGGGCGUGAAACCGCUCGGGCGAAAACGGGUGGAACCUCGAAGGUCGACGGGGGAGUCAGGGCCAGUCCCGUCCGGUGGCGCGGCGCUCGUUUGGAUGGCGGUCGGGGCCGGGUCUCGUGCCCGUGUCCUCGCAUCCGCCUCCCGGCCCGCGCCUUGGCCGGCGGGGAGGGAUCCCGCACUUCCCCCGGUAGGACGCCGCAACCGGGUUGGCCCGGGAGGCCUAAGGGCCCCGGGGUGGUGUCAGCAGGGGGCCGGUUCGGGGCUCAACACCCCUCCGGCUUCCGACGCCCGGUGUUUUCCCGGCCUCCCACUGAGGCGACCGCGAGAAGGAGUCUCGGAGUCGCCCAUGCCGGGGCACCCUCCCUUCGGGGGGUGGUUGUCCUCGGAGCAAGCGAUGUUUUUCCAAACAGCUCGGAGUCACGGGAGCUGGGGAGUCGUCUCCCCGGGCGCGGUGGAGUCCUCUUUCGUUAGCGGUAACCGUGGCGACACGGCCCGCCGGAGGUUCGCCACGUCGGCUUUGCCCGGUCGGCAGCAGCUCUCCCCGGCGUUUAAUCCCGCCGAGCCGACGGUUUGAACCCGUCCGAGUGGCGGCGAGCAAGCUCGGCGGUCCACCCGCCCCGUCUUGAAACACGGGCCAAGGAGUCUAACACGUGCGCGAGUCCUCGGGAGAUAGCCAAGACCCGGAGGCGCAGCGAAAGCGAAGGCCUCGCCUCUGAGCGGGCCGAGGGGAGAUCCGGUCUCUCAGCGCGGGGGUUGUUUUCGAGGGAGUGUCCCUCGGGUCUCUCUCUCGUGGCAACGCUAAAAACCCCGCCGGAGCCGGCGCAUCCUCGGGGCGGGCAGAGCCCGAUUGAGGGCCGGCACGCACCCAGAGCGCACGCGUCGGGACCCGAAAGAUGGUGAUCUAUGCCUGGCCAGGACGAAGCCGGGGAAAACCCGGUGGAGGUCCGCAGCGGUUCUGACGUGCAAAUCGAUCGUCGGAGCUGGGUAUAGGGGCGAAAGACCAAACGAACCGUCUAGUAGCUGGUUCCCUCCGAAGUUUCCCUCAGGAUAGCUGGCACUCGCUGGAGAGCGAGUCUCAUCCGGUAAAGCGACUGAUUGGAGGAGCCCGGGUCGCCGGGACCUGGACCUACUCUCAAACUUUGAAUGGGUGAGAAGCCGGGCAUGCUCUGACAGUCCGGUCUUGCCCCCUCGCGGGGCGCGGCGUUUGAAGCCCGAGCUCGGAUCAGAGUGCCCAGUGGGCCACUUUUGGUAAGCAGAACUGGCGCUGUGGGAUGAACCAAACGCCGGGUUAAGGCGCCCGAAUCGCCGCUCAUCAGAUCCCACGAAAGGCGUCGGCGGCUAAAGACAGCAGGACGGUGGCCAUGGAAGUCGGCACCCGCCAAGGAGUGUGUAACGACUCACCUGCCGAAGCCACCGGCCCUGAAAAUGGAUGGCGCUGAAGCGGCGUGCCCAUACCCGGCCGUCGGUGCAGAGCAUGCUCGAAAAAAAAUGGACGAGGUCGGUGGUUGCGGUUGGUUGGUUGGUUGGUUGGUGGGAGGGGAUUGCUUGCCUGCCUGCCUGCCCCCCCCCCAUUCCUUCCCUUGCCUCCGCCCCUCGAUCCAAACUUUUUUUCUGCACUUAGGCCACCGACGAGUAGGAGGGCGCGGCGGUGGCGCAGAAGGGACCGGGCGUGAGCCCACCCGGAGCCGCCGCCGGUGCAGAUCUUGGUGGUAGUAGCGAAGAAUCCGGCGAGACCCCCGGAGGACCGAUGUGGAGUAGGGUUUCGUGGCGCCGGCAUUCGGCCACGAGUGAGUCGAUCCUAAGCCCGUUGGUAAUUCUUGCCAGCGGAGGGGACCGAAAAGAAGGCCCCAAAAACCACAGAACUAUAUAUACAAUAAAAAACAUUCAUUCAAGAAUGAGCUGUUCUUGAAAAUGAUGGAUGCACAAUAAAAAUAUAUAAAGACUGUGAAAAAGAGCUGUUGAAAGACCCCUUCGUCUCGGGCGAAAGGGAAGCCGGUGCAGAUUCCGGCACCCGGUCGCGGGCUCGAACUUGAAGGG
rnacentral:rRNA from 1 species